GACUCGUUCUUCUUCCUUGCGGGAUCUCAGGCAAGAUGACCAUUACCCUCGAUAUCACUUCUAUCUUUGCUUGCUAGUUGCUCCGUUCUAUUGCCAUGCUGCGCUACCUAUCACUUGUUUACCAUGCCUCCCAUAUUGCCAUGUCAGCCUCUAAUUUUUUUCACCCUUCCUAGCAAACCGUUGCUUGGCUAUGUUACCCGCUUUGCUCAGCCCCUCUUAUAGCAUUGUUAGUUGCAGAUGAAGUUGAAGAUUUCUCCAUGGUGGACAGGAUUAUGAUUGGGAUAUCACAAUAUCUCUUAUAUUAUUAAUGCAUCUAUAUAUUUGGUAAAGGGUGGAAGACUCGGCCUUAUGCCUGGUGUUAUGUUCCACUCUUGCCGCCCUAGUUUUCGUCAUACCGGUGUUAUGUUCCCGGAUUUUGCGUUCCUUACACGGUUGGGUGAUUUAUGGGACCCCCUUGACAGUUCGCUUUGAAUAAAACUCCUCCAGCAAGGCCCAACAUUCGUUUUACCAUUUGCCACCUAAGCCUUUUUCCCUUGGGUUAUGCAGACUCAAGGGUCAUCUUUAUUUUAACCCCCCCGGGCCAGUGCUCCUUCGAGUGUUGGUCCGAACUGAGUAGACUGCGGGGCCACCUCGGGGAAACUUGAGGGCUGAUUUUACUCGUAGGAUGUCUCAUCCGGUGUGCCCUGAGAACGAGAUAUGUGCAGCUCCUAUCGGGAUUUAUCGGCACAUCGGGCGGCUUUGCUGGUCUUGUUUUACCAUUGUCGAAAUGUCUUGUAAACCGGGAUUCCGAGUCUGAUCGGGUCUUCCUGGGAGAAGGUCUAUUCCUUCGUUGAUCGCGAGAGCUUGUCAUGGGCUAAGUUAGGACACCCCUGCAGGGUAUAAUCUUUCGAAAACCAUGCCUGCGGUCAUAGGCAGAUGGGAAUUUGUUAAUGUCCGGUUGUAGAUAACUUGACACCAGAUCUGAUUUAAAACGCAUCAACCGCGUGUGUAGCCGUGAUGGUCUCUUCUCGGCGGAGUCCGGGAUGUGAACACGGUUUUGGGUUAUGUUUGACGUAAGUAGGAGUUCAGGAUCACUUCUUGAUCAUUGCUAGUUCACGACCGUUUCUUUUGCUUUCUUCUCGCUCUUAUUUGCGUAUGUUAGCCACCAUAUAUGCUUAGUCGCUGCAACCUCACCACUUUACCCCUUCCUUUCCCUUAAGCUUAAAUAGUCUUGAUCUCGCGGGUUUUGAGAUUGCUGAGUCCUCGUGGCUCACCAGAUACUAUCACAACAGUUGCAGGUGCCGAUGAUACCAGUGCAAGUGAUGCAACCGAGCUCAGAUGGGAGCUCAACGAAGAUUUUAGUUGUUUCUAUGUUUUGUUUAUUGUUGAUCAGUAGUGGAGCCCAGUUGGGACGAUCGGGGAUCUAGCAGUUGGGUUCUCUUCUUUUCUUUUGGCUUCGUCCGUAGUCGGACUAUAUGUGUGUACUCUGAAUGAUGUAUGCUAUAUUAUAUGUUCAUUGUGUGAAGUGGCGAUUGUAAGCCAACUCUUUAUCCCAUUCUUGUUCAUUACAUGAGAUUGUGUGAAGAUGACCCUUCUUGCGGCAAAACCACAAUGCGGUUAUGCCUCUAAGUCGUGCUUCGACACGUGGGAGAUAUAGCUGCAUCGUGGGUGUUACAAGUUGGUAAUCAGAGCCAUCCCCGACUUAGGAGCCCCCUUCCUGAUUGUUUGCUGACGUUGUUGAGUCUAGAACAAAAAUGUUUUGAGUCUUAGGAUUAUAUAUAUCGGAGAGUAGGAUUCUUUUUACUCCUCAGUCCCUUCGUCGCUCUGGUGAGGUCUCCUGACGUAGAUGUUUUGUCUUUCCUCUCCUCAAAUUUCACUAAAUUUUUUUAGGAUCACGCGGGUAUCUUGGAAUCGUUCCGAUGGUUUUGUGACGAGAACAUUGUUCUUGGUGCCUCCUGUCUUUUAUGUGGCUUUGACCCAGGGAGUUGAGCUCUGAGGUGUUGUCGUCACAAUUUUAUCGUUGCAGUUCUGGAAUACCUGAGUUUUGCUGACAUCGAAAAUCUCUUUUAUGCAGUUGUUGGUGAGAUAACCUCGAUAACCCAGUACUGGGGCGAGCUCGAGAGUAUUGCCAUAACUCGUAUAACGGAUGCUUUUCGAAGGUUGAGGUACACGAUUUCCGAAGGUUUCUUGGUUAUGUGUUGACGGAUGGAUACAGCUUGGAUGUAGGGAUUGUUAGUUUUGGGUGAGAUAUAUAUUGCUUCCCCUGUAUCCCCAACACCAGAUUGCAUAACCAGAAAGUUUCGGGAGUUUUAUAGGUGGGAAUUCAAGUAGCUCCUAGAAUAUCUUUUCGACGGAUGCAUGAUAUGAGAUUGGGGUUUGAUGUCUAGUGGUCCGCCUUUCCACGGUCGUUUUUACAGUGGUCUUGUUGUGUCUUAAAGAACCCUUGGCUAUGCUGGUUCGGGGACACUUCGUAUGUCAUGUGCACUGCCUUGUACAUGAUGGUGCUGUACACUCGAGCCCGUGUGGGCCCCACCACGAAAACUUCGGACGAAAUCUCUAUCAUAUGUUUGUUUCGGGCUUAUUCUGCAAGCCAAAUCCUUUGUUUUGUGUUAUUUGUGGUAUUCGAGUUGCUUCGAGUCAAAUGUUGAAUCCAUACCUUUCCUAAACGUUAUUCUCAUAUUGCUACGUGAAUACUAAUCCUUCUUGAUUAUCGAGAUCGUCAUGUUAAUUCUUUUUCUAACCGGCGUGCUUCUCUUUGAGAUGAUCCGAUCAUUCUCAACAUCCGCAAGAUCAAUUCUAAGUUUUCUCAACGGUAUCCAUCCCAUCUGCCCCAAGUUGCCUUUGUUUUCCCCACCCUCCCACCCUUUUCUUCAAGGACUCAUAUAUUUUAAUCAUGUAUCCAUUUAUUCAUGUGAAGUCACUUCACCCUUUUCAAUCAAUGUUCUGAUCCGGUGAUCCCUCGUGAAGAUGCUCACGAGCUUCAAGUUUAUUAUUCUUCGUCUCUUUUCUUCUCCGGUGGAUUUAACUCAAGCUUUCGGUGUUGAUCAUAUUCCCUUCGUUUCAAGUGUUUGCGUAUGCCGGUGAUCUCUAAAUCAUUCCCCGCUUGCUAUUCAAUUGUUCCGAGUGCUGAAGAUAUCUCUGAAGAUUCGUGUUUCCACUCUGCAUCAAUUCUAACUAUUUUGAGAUUGUUAUCUCAUUCAAGCCAUUUAAUUCUACGGUGCAAUCCCCCCUUUCAAUCAAUCGUUCAACGGUGUUUCUCUUGAGUGGGCCCUAACCCACAGGUCUUUUUCCAGGUUCUUACCUGACUCUUCUAAUUUUCCCGGAGCUAUUCUCGAUUUCUUUUCAAAGUUUAACAUAAGAAUGAUUUCUCAUCAGUCAAAUGUAUUCUCCAAGUUCGCUUUCAUAUUUUUUUCAUCGUUGAUUCAACCUUUCUAUUCUUUAUUAUGGAGUGUCUCAACAAUUCAUGGUGGUUCUCGUCAUCAUUCUCAGCAUGUGAAGACCGAAGAAGAGGUUCUCUUAAAUCUUGUCCGUUCUCUUGAAGAUUCAUGGUUCUAGCGUGAUGCCAUCCUCUCAUAAUUGUUUUCGAUUGUGAGAAUUAUUUUCAACCAUCCAGAGCAUUUCAGGAGUCUUUUUAGUUUCAUUCUCCGGAGCCAAUCAUCUCAGAAUUAUUCAUUCACAGCUUUCAACUCUCGUUCUUGAAUUCUUCCGGUGCAUCAUUCAAAUAUCCUCUAAUCAGUUCAUGAUCUCUUCGUUCUCAUGUAUCUAAAUCCCCUCAAGUAUCUUCAUUAGUUUUCCAAUUCUUCCCGGUGAAUUGUGCCUUUGCUAUGUUCAUUUUCAGUUCCUACGGUGGUUCUUUCAACAUUUCACUUCCUUCGUUAUCAUAUCAAUUCAUUUGUUGUUUCCAAUCCUACACGGUGGUUCCAUCAAUACCUUCUCAAGCUUGCGCUAUAUCUCUCUUAAUCCUUUCUACGAGAAUAAGUAGUAUGCCAAAUACGUUGCUUGUCAUCAAUUUAAAUUGGUGAAGGUUAAGCAUACAAUAAAUCUUAUUCUUAUUUCCUCUAGGUGAUUCAAUUAUUUUCUUCCGGAGAUUGUUCAUGAUGAAGUAAUUCUCGGCUCUAGUGUUUCAUCUUUUCCUUUUCUGGAGUUCCAAGUUUUCUCGGUUAUAUCGUCGCGAAGCUUCAUCUAAAUCAUCGCAAGGCUUCACCUUGUGUUUUCAACUUCCCUUUCUUUUUAUCAUCCUUUUAUUACCGGAGUUCUCCAUGGAGGCUCUACAUGAUGGUUUAUCAAGGAUUUAAUUCCUUCUCAAAGUGUUCAUCGAGAUUCUUUUCAGAGGAGUUCAAGCAUUCUUCAUCUUGCAUUCCAAAGUGCAAUUCUUUCUACCUUAUCUUUUGAGGUGGUGUUAUAUCAUUCUUGACAAUUUUCAUUCAUGUUUCGCGAUUCACAUGUUGUCAAGAAUGAGGUAUUUUAAAUCCAUUAAUCUCUUCGUUGGAGUUAUCUUGGUAUAGAUUUCACUUAAAGCCUUCCCUAAGGAAUGUUGCUAUUAUGGUGCUUAUCAAUGAUCCAAGCUUUCUCCAUAUCCUUCUCGGUGAAAGAGGUUUUCAUCUCUUCGUUGAUCUCAACCAAUCGAUUGUUUCUGUUAGUGGUCGGUUGUCACCUCAUAGUUUUGAGAUGUUUUCCAUAAGCCCACUACAAGCUUAUUCUUUUCGUUGUUGAUUUUCCAACAACUCCGUUCUAUUCUUCUUUGCAAGGAUGCUUUCCAAGCUCAUUUGUGGCAGAAGUUGGCAUUUUCUUCUUCAUUCUGUUAUUCCAAUGAUCUAUCGUCUAUUCUUUCUUCCGGAGGCAUUGUGAUGUUGCUCUCUUCACUCAUCUUCUCGAAUGGAGGAUCAUGUUCUUUUCAUGCUUAUCCAUUCAACCGGAAUGUUGUGUCAUCUCUUCAAGUUCUUUUCAUCUUAUCAAGUCUUGCAUCUCUUUUCAACCGGAGUGCUGUCCGAAUUUGUUCUUCCUUGUUCCUUGUUUAUCUCGUUUCAACCAGAGCGGGUUCAAUUCCUUCUUCUUCAUUGAACUCGUCAUUCAUAGCUUUGCAACCUCUAAGGUUCAAAUGGCGUUCCUUGUUUCUAUUUGUUCUACCGCAGCGCUCUCAAUUGUGUUCAACUCUGCUGUGUUCUUUCUUUCAACUUUUAAAUCUCUCAAGGUUCUUUGGUUUCACUCUUUUGUCGAAGAAGCAACUUAGUUUUACCCAAGGUUGUCAGAAUCGUGAUUUUGAAUCGGAUCGGAGCUCCAAUGGUAGGAUCGAAAAUCGUAGAAUCUUCACUAUCAGGAUCAUAGAAACGUAGAUUCUAUGAAGUAAAAUCGUAGAAUCAGAGGGGUUAGUUUGGAUCAUAAAGUCGUAGAAUCGUUUAACAGAAUCGCGAUUCUGACAACCUUGGUUUUACCUCCUCUCGUCCUCUUCCGUUUUCUCUCCGGUGCCAUUCUAGAUCUCGGGACGAGAUCCUCUUGUAGUGGUGGAGUGUUGUAACGCCCCGAGACCGACGCUCCAGAAGACUUCCAGCUAUUACGAGUUUUGCCAUGUAUCUUUUGUGCUUGCUCUUUUAAUUUUGCAUUGCAUCAUGUCAUCAUGCCAUCAUAUCAUUAAUUUUAAAAACUCAUCUAAAUAAAUUGUAUGGAUCUUCGAUCCAUUUAAACCGAGGGAACUCACAUGGUGACUUCUCUUUAUAACAUACCCUCCCGAUAUUUAGGGAGAUAUUAUUAAAUAUUCCACUAUUUCGGAAAUCACCAAAGCACACUUGCAAAAUAAUUUCGUUCCUUUUCUGCUUCAAGUUUGGUCUCCAACCUUGCCAAUAAUUAUUUCAUCAUUUUCUGGAGCUCCACCUAAAAAUCCGAACAUUUUUUUGGACACUUCAAAAACCUAGUCCUAGUUCAAACCCAUUUGAAUUAAAUUCAAAUGAGUUUGAAUUUAAAUCUUGCAAUCUUGGCCUUUCUAUUUUUCUUGGAACGAGCAUAUUUUUGUGAGUCCAGGGAAAUUAUCCCCUUGCGCAUUUUCUUUCCCUAACCCCCCUCUUCUUUUUCCUUCUCUCUAUGCUUUUCUAUUUUAGAAAUAUAAGAGAGAGAGAGAAGAGGGCCGCUUCCCCGCAGCCCAUUUGACCCAAGGCUAAGUCGGCCCAAGGCCCAGCCGCCCCCACUGUAACCCUAGCCCGAUUCCCUGCGCUCCAUCCUCUCGAUCCCAAUCUCUCUCCCUCUCGAUUCCCUCCAGCGCCGCCAGCGCCCGACCCCCUCUCCCGCAUCUCCCUCGAUCCAUCUCCUCCUCGUUCCCACGCAUCGCCCGAUCCCGCAUCUCUCUCGAUCCCCAUCUCCCUCUCGUCUCUCACCUCGCGCAGCACCCAGCCCCAGGAGCCCGAUUCCCCCAUCCCUCUCCCUCGCUACCGCGACCACUCCUCUCGAUCUCUCCCUCUCCCUCGCUCGUGCCCUCCAUCGCCGCCCGAGCGCCUCCUCCGCAGCAUUGUCACGCCCUGCCUCCCCUUGCUCCGAAGCCCGCCGUCCACCUUCCCCGUGGCUGAGAUCCACUCCGGCGCCCCCUGCCUCGACCUCCUCUCCGAGCAGGAGCAGCCUCCGCCUGCAGGCGCAGAGCCCCGAGGUCGCGUCCCUGUCGCCCGAGCGCUCAAGGAGAGGAGCUCCUCGAGCACCUCGCCCGCAUCCAAUCGUCCUCCGCUGCCCGACGACCCUCUGCAUCCACCUCCAACAGCUCUCCCUGCGACCUCAUCUUCAUCACCGCCUCGUGCGUCCCUACCGACUCCGACCGGGAGCCCCGCCGCUCGCUUGUACAUGGCAUCCGCCUUCCUGCACGCGCGUUGCUGCUGCUUCGCCGCCCGCCUCCCUUCGUUGACCACCAAGACCCGAGGCAUGUGUGCUCCACUGCUAGUUUCGUGGACGACGAGUACCUCUACGAUGACCCUGCAUGUCUACGAGCGUCAAGUACCACUACAACCCAUGUUCGACUACGUGGAUUCGCCAAGUACACCACCACCAAGCCCGCACGGGAGCCCGAACGACUACUUCCACGACGAUGCGAGUACAAGUACCCCUUCGGAUCGCCAAGUACAUCUACGGCCGUGUACCACUACUUCCUCUACCGACGACCCCGAACAUCUACGAAAUGAACGUGUACAACUACCGUCGCCCCGUGAACGACUACCUCCACUACGGCCCGUGAACGACUACUUCCUCUAUGAAACUCGUACCGCUCCGAAAACGCACGCUUCGAAGGUAUAAACCCCGAGGCGACCGCCCGUGAACGAAUGCAUGUGUUGUAUGAGAUGUACCAUAUGUUUGCAACAUGUCCGAAGUGUCACUCGUUUCCAUGCCGCCGUCCCGUGGGAACCCGGAAGCCGGGAGCACCCCACCAUCCUCGCAUGACACGCUCACAUCACACUUCUGGUAUGCAUCGGUAUCUCACUCGAGUUAUCGGGACCGGAAUGUUGCCGUGGCACCAUUUUCGUUAUCGUUGCCGUGGCACCCCUUUUAUUCCGCCAUGGUGACCAGAUGUUUCAUAACAUGCUCAUGUCAUCGUUUUCAUUAAAAUUGCAUAAACUUGUAUAUGUCAUCCGCAUCAUGAUAACAACAUUUAAAUGGUUAAAAUUGUGUUUGCAUUAAAAUACUAUAUGACAUGGGGACUUUCCGGAAUUGUUGUUUGUUGUUUUCCGGCCUCAUUUAAACUUGCCUAAAUAUGUAGUUCACUUAUGCUUCACCCCUUGCCAUGUUAAUUAACAUUUAAUAUUUGUUGAGUAUCAUAACCGAGAGAGAACUAAAUAAUUGAUGUGGUGUUCCGUCAAUAUGCAACUCGUUGCAUAUUGAGCUCCACUUAACUUGUAGUGUUGUUUUUGCAUAUUGCCAUGCCAUGCCUCAUUAAACCGGACAUGCAUCAUACUUGAUUGUGCAUCAUGCCAUGAUUAUGUUCGUGUGUUUACCAUAUUGUUUGCUUCUUUCCGGUUUGCUUCUCUCGUUAGCUUCGGUUUCGUUCCGGAGUUGUGAGGAUUUGUUCGACUACGUUCGUAUGUCUUCUUCAUGGACUUGUUCUUCUUCCUUGCGGGAUCUCAGGCAAGAUGACCAUUACCCUCGAUAUCACUUCUAUCUUUCCUUGCUAGUUGCUUCGUUCUAUUGCCAUGCUGCGCUACCUAUCACUUGUUUACCAUGCCUCCCAUAUUGCCAUGUCAGCCUCUAAUUUUUUUCACCCUUCCUAGCAAACCGUUGCUUGGCUAUGUUACCCGCUUUGCUCAGCCCCUCUUAUAGCAUUGUUAGUUGCAGAUGAAGUUGAAGAUUUCUCCAUGGUGGACAGGAUUAUGAUUGGGAUAUCACAAUAUCUCUUAUAUUAUUAAUGCAUCUAUAUAUUUGGUAAAGGGUGGAAGACUCGGCCUUAUGCCUGGUGUUUUGUUCCACUCUUGCCGCCCUAGUUUCCAUCAUACCGGUGUUAUGUUCCCGGAUUUUGCGUUCCUUACGCGGUUGGGUGAUUUAUGGGACCCCCUUGACAGUUCGCUUUGAGUAAAACUCCUCCAGCAAGGCCCAACCUUGGUUUUACCAUUUGCCACCUAAGCCUUUUUCCCUUGGGUUAUGCAGACUCAAGGGUCAUCUUUAUUUUAACCCCCCGGGCCAGUGCUCCUUCGAGUGUUGGUCCAAACUGAGUAGACUGCGGGGCCACCUCGGGGAAACUUGAGGGCUGGUUUUACUCGUAGGAUGUCUCAUCCGGUGUGCCCUGCGAACGAGAUAUGUGCAGCUCCUAUCGGGAUUUGUCGGCACAUCGGGCGGCUUUGCUGGUCUUGUUUUACCAUUGUCGAAAUGUCUUGUAAACCGGGAUUCCGAGUCUGAUCGGGUCUUCCUGGGAGAAGGUCUAUUCCUUCGUUGAUCGCGAGAGCUUGUCAUGGGCUAAGUUGGGACACCCCUGCAGGGUAUAAUCUUUCGAAAGCCGUGCCUGCGGUUAUAGGCAGAUGGGAAUUUGUUAAUGUCCGGUUGUAGAUAACUUGACACCAGAUCUGAUUUAAAACGCAUCAACCGCGUGUGUAGCCGUGAUGGUCUCUUCUCGGCGGAGUCCGGGAAGUGAACACGGUUUUGGGUUAUGUUUGACGUAAGUAGGAGUUCAGGAUCACUUCUUGAUCAUUGCUAGUUCACGACCGUUCCUUUUGCUCUCUUCUCGCUCUUAUUUGCGUAUGUUAGCCACCAUAUAUGCUUAGUCGCUGCUGCAACCUCACCACUUUACCCCUUCCUUUCCCUUAAGCUUAAAUAGUCUUGAUCUCGCGGGUUUUGAGAUUGCUGAGUCCUCGUGGCUCACCCGAUACUAUCACAACAGUUGCAGGUGCCGAUGAUACCAGUGCAGGUGAUGCAACCGAGCUUAGAUGGGAGCUCAACGAAGAUCUUAGUUGUUGCUAUGUUUUGUUUAUUGUUGAUCAGUAGUGGAGCCCAGUUGGGACGAUCGGGGAUCUAGCAGUUGGGUUAUCUUCUUUUCUUUUGGCUUCGUCCGUAGUCGGACUAUAUGUGUGUACUCUGAAUGAUGUAUGCUAUAUUAUAUGUUCAUUGUGUGAAGUGGCGAUUGUAAGCCAACUCUUUAUCCCAUUCUUG
rnacentral:lncRNA from 1 species